rnacentral:rRNA from 1 species
GCAUCGUUAGAGGAACGUGUCUGGAAAGCACGGGCGUAGAGAGUGAAACCCUCGUACUCGAAAACGUAGCGUCUGUUUAGAGUGUUCCCAAGUAGCAGCGUACUCGUGAAAUUCGCUGUGAAUCUGGCGGGACCACCCGCUAAGCCUAAAUACUCCCUGGUGACCGAUAGCGGACUAGUACCGUGAGGGAAAGAUGAAAAGUACCCCGGGAGGGGAGUGAAAUAGUACCUGAAACCGUGUGCCUACAAUCCGUCGGAGCCUUUAGGGGUGACGGCGUGCCUUUUGAAGAAUGAGCCUGCGAGUUAGUGCUACGUGGCGAGGUUAACCCGUGUGGGGUAGCCGUAGCGAAAGCGAGUCUGAAUAGGGCGUUUGAGUCGCGUGGUCUAGACCCGAAGCGGUGUGAUCUAGCCAUGGCCAGGGUGAAGCGCGGGUAAGACCGCGUGGAGGCCCGAACCCACCAGGGUUGAAAACCUGGGGGAUGAGCUGUGGUUAGGGGUGAAAGGCCAAUCAAACACCGUGAUAGCUGGUUCUCCCCGAAAUGCAUUUAGGUGCAGCGUCGUGUGUUUCUCACCGGGGGUAGAGCACUGGAUGGUCUAGGGGGCCCACAAGCUUACCGAAAUCAACCAAACUCCGAAUACCGGUGUGUUAGAGCGCGGCAGUGAGACUGCGGGGGAUAAGCUUCGUAGUCGAGAGGGAAACAGCCCAGAACGCCAGCUAAGGUCCCUAAGUGUGUGCUAAGUGGGAAAGGAUGUGGGGUCGCACAGACAGCCAGGAGGUUGGCUUAGAAGCAGCCACCCUUUAAAGAGUGCGUAAUAGCUCACUGGUCAAGUGGUCCUGCGCCGACAAUGUAGCGGGGCUUAAGCACACCACCGAAGCUGUGUCAUUCCGAGCUUGUCUCGGGAUGGGUAGGGGAGCGUCGUGUAGCGGUUGAAGCGGCGGAGUAAUCCAGCCGUGGACGCUAUGCGAGUGAGAAUGCAGGCAUGAGUAGCGAAAGACGAGUGAGAAACUCGUCCGCCGGAUGACCAAGGGUUCCUGGGCCAGGCUAAUCCGCCCAGGGUAAGUCGGGACCUAAGGCGAGGCCGACAGGCGUAGUCGAUGGACAACGGGUUGAUAUUCCCGUACCCGUGUGAACGCGCCCAUGAUGAACCUUGUGAUACUAACCGCCCGAAGCACCUCCGAAACUCCUUCGGGAGCUAGGGGACUGUGGAGCGCGGGACCUGAACUUGUAGUAGUCAAGCGAUGGGGUGACGCAGGAGGGUAGCUCCGCCAGUGAGUGGUAGUACUGGUGCAAGCGUGUAGGGGNNNNNNNNNNNNNNNNNNNNNNNNNNNNNNNNNNNNNNNNNNNNNNNNNNNNNNNNNNNNNNNNNNNNNNNNNNNNNNNNNNNNNNNNNNNNNNNNUAGCCUGAGACGUGAUGCGUAGCCGAUUGAGGCGAAGUAGAGUGAUCCCAUGCUGCCGAGAAAAGCCUCUAGCGAGCUUUCACGCGGCCCGUACCCCAAACCGACACAGGUGGUCAGGUAGAGAAUACCGAGGCGAUCGGGCGAACUGUGGUUAAGGAACUCGGCAAAAUGCCCCCGUAACUUCGGGAGAAGGGGGGCCGUAGCGCUUGAAGCCUCUUGCAGGCUAGGGCGAGACGGCCGCAGAGACCAGCGAGAAGCGACUGUUUACUAAAAACACAGGUCCAUGCGAAGUCGCAAGACGAUGUAUAUGGACUGACGCCUGCCCGGUGCUGGAACGUUAAGGGGACCGGUUAGUCCUUCGGGGCGAAGCUGAGAACUUAAGCGCCAGUAAACGGCGGUGGUAACUAUAACCAUCCUAAGGUAGCGAAAUUCCUUGUCGGGUAAGUUCCGACCUGCACGAAUGGCGUAACGACUUCUCGACUGUCUCAACCGCAGGCCCGGCGAAAUUGCAUUACGAGUAAAGAUGCUCGUUACGCGCGGCAGGACGGAAAGACCCCGGGACCUUUACUAUAGCUUGGUAUUGGUGUUCGAUUCGGCUUGUGUAGGAUAGGUGGGAGACUGUGAAGCGGCCACGCCAGUGGUUGUGGAGUCGUCGUUGAAAUACCACUCUGGUCGUAUUGGAUGUCUAACCUCGGUCCGUGAUCCGGAUCAGGGACAGUGCCUGGUGGGUAGUUUAACUGGGGCGGUUGCCUCCCAAAGAGUAACGGAGGCGCUCAAAGGUUCCCUCAGCCUGGUUGGCAAUCAGGUGUUGAGUGCAAGUGCACAAGGGAGCUUGACUGUGAGACUGACGGGUCGAGCAGGGACGAAAGUCGGAACUAGUGAUCCGGCCAUGGCUUGUGGAAGCGUGGUCGCUCAACGGAUAAAAGGUACCCCGGGGAUAACAGGCUGAUCUUCCCCAAGAGUCCAUAUCGACGGGAUGGUUUGGCACCUCGAUGUCGGCUCGUCGCAUCCUGGGGCUGGAGUAGGUCCCAAGGGUUGGGCUGUUCGCCCAUUAAAGCGGUACGCGAGCUGGGUUUAGAACGUCGUGAGACAGUUCGGUCCCUAUCCGCCGCGCGCGUAGGAUACUUGAGGAAGGCUGUCCCUAGUACGAGAGGACCGGGACGGACGGACCGCUGGUGUGCCAGUUGUUCUGCCAAGAGCAUUGCUGGUUGGCUACGUUCGGAAGGGAUAACCGCUGAAGGCAUCUAAGCGGGAAGCUCGUUCCAAGAUGAGGUAUCCCACUCUUCGUGAGUUAAGGCCCCCAGCUAGACCACUGGGUUGAUAGGCCAGAGGUGGAAGACCGGUAACGGUUGGAGCUGACUGGUACUAAUAGGCCGAGGACUUGU